rnacentral:rRNA from 1 species
GAUGAACGCUGGCGGCGUGCCUAAUACAUGCAAGUCGAACGCGAAGGCUUGAAGCCUUCGGGCGGAGGGCCGAGUAGAGUGGCGAACGGGUGAGGAACACGUAGGUGACCUGCCCCGGAGAGGGGGAUAACCGUCGGAAACGGCGGCUAAUACCCCAUAAGCUCACGCGAGUUAGAGGGCGUGUGAGAAAGCUCCGGCGCUCCGGGAGGGGCCUGCGGCCCAUCAGCUAGUUGGUAGGGUAAAGGCCUACCAAGGCGAAGACGGGUAGGGGGCCUGAGAGGGUGGUCCCCCACAUGGGAACUGAGACACGGUCCCAACUCCUACGGGAGGCAGCAGUAAGGAAUAUUGCACAAUGGGCGCAAGCCUGAUGCAGCAACGCCGCGUGCCCGAGGACGGCCUUCGGGUUGUAAAGGGCUUUUCUGGCUGACGAGGAAGGACGGUAGGCCAGGAAUAAGCGUCGGCUAACUACGUG